rnacentral:rRNA from 1 species
CCUACGGGUGGCAGCAGUGAGGAAUAUUGGUCAAUGGGCGAAAGCCUGACGCAGCGACGCCGCGUGAGGGAUGAAGGUCUUCGGAUCGUAAACCUCUGUCAGCAGGGAAGAACGGUCACUGUGCUAAUCAGCAGUGACUUGACGGUACCUGCAAAGGAAGCACCGGCUAACUCCGUGCCCGCAGCCGCGGUAAUACGGAGGGUGCGAGCGUUAAUCGGAAUUACUGGGCGUAAAGCGAUCGUAGGCGGUAUGUCAAGUCAAGGGUGAAAUCCCCGGGCUCAACGUGGGAACUGCCUUUGAAACUGGCAAACUGGAGUGUGUGAGAGGAUAGUGGAAUUCCAGGUGUAGGAGUGAAAUCCGUAGAUAUCUGGAGGAACAUCAGUGGCGAAGGCGACUAUCUGGCACAUAACUGACGCUGAGGAGCGAAAGCGUGGGUAGCAAACAGGAUUAGAUACCCUGGUAGUC